GUCCACGCCAUAAACGAUGGAUACUUGGUGUUGGAGGUAUUGACCCCUUCAGUGCCGAAGCUAACGCGUUAAGUAUCCCGCCUGGGGAGUACGGUCGCAAGAUUAAAACUCAAAGAAAUUGACGGGGGCCCGCACAAGCGGUGGAGCAUGUGGUUCAAUUCGAUGCAACGCGAAAACCUUACCUAGAUUUGACAUGUAUUGGAAGGAUCCCCAGAAAUGGGUCCGCUCGCAAGAGCCGAUACACAGGUGCUGCAUGGCUGUCGU
rnacentral:rRNA from 1 species